rnacentral:sRNA from 1 species
AAGGGACCUAGCGUAGUUCGGAAUUACUGGGCUUAAAGAGUUCGUAGGUGGUUGAAAAAGUUGGUGGUGAAAUCCCAGAGCUUAACUCUGGAACUGCCAUCAAAACUUUUCAGCUAGAGUAUGAUAGAGGAAAACAGAAUUUCUAGUGUAGAGGUGAAAUUCGUAGAUAUUAGAAAGAAUACCAAUUGCGAAGGCAGCUUUCUGGAUCAUUACUGACACUGAGGAACGAAAGCAUGGGUAGCGAAGAGGAUUAGAUACCCUCGUAGUCCAUGCCGUAAACGAUGUGUGUUAGACGUUGGAAAUUUGUUUUCAGUGUCGCAGGGAAACCGAUAAACACACCGCCUGGGGAGUACGACCGCAAGGUUAAAACUCAAAUGAAUUGACGGGGACCCGCACAAGUAGUGGAGCAUGUGGUUUAAUUCGAAGAUACGCGCAGAACCUUACCAACACUUGACAUGUUCGUCGCGACUCUAAGAGAUUAGAGUUUUCGGUUCGGCCGGACGAAACACAGGUGCUGCAUGGCUGUCGUCGGCUCGUGUCGUGAGAUGUUGGGUUAAGUCCCGCAACGAGCGCAACCCUCACUUUUAGUUGCCAUCAUUAAGUUGGGCACUCUGAAAGAACUGCCAGUGAUAAGCUGGAGGAAGGUGGGGAUGACGUCAAGUCCUCAUGGCCCUUACGUGUUGGGCCACACACGUGCUACAAUGGCAUCUACAACUGGAAGCAAAACGGCAACGUUAAGCAAAUCCCGAAAAGAUGCCUCAGUUCGGAUUGCACUCUGCAACUCGAGUGCAUGAAGCUGGAAUUACUAGUAAUCGUGGAUCAGCGUGCCACGGUGAAUGCGUUCCCGGGUCUUGUACACACCGCCCGUCACACCAUGGGAGUUGGUUCUACCUUAAGGCAAGGUUUUAAACCCUUGACCACGGUAUAGUCAGCGACUGGGGUGAAGUCGUAACAAGGUAGCCGUAGGGGAACCUGCGGCUGGAUUACCUCCUUUCUAAGGAUGAGUGAAAGAGAAAAAUUUCACUCUAAAUAAUAUACAUCGGUAAUGUUGACCGUCCUCAUUUCUCUUCUUAAAGUAAUGUUUUCUUCUUGUAGGGCCGGUAGCUCAGUUGGUUAGAGCACACCCUUGAUAGGGGUGGGGUCGAAAGUUCGAGUCUUUCUCGGCCCACCAAUAACUCAAUGGGGGGAUUAGCUCAUCUGGGAGAGCGCCUGAUUUGCAUUCAGGAGGUAGCAGGUUCGAUCCCUGUAUCCUCCACCAGGAAACAUUUAGUUAUUAAAACUGUAAAUAAAAAUAAUUUAUAUCAAUAUCUAUAUCCGUACAUUAAAAGUUAUUAUUUAAUGUUCAAAAUAAAAAUUUGAUCACAACAUAGAUAAAUUUUCUGUUAAAAGAAUUUUUUUCUGUGCAUAAAUCAAGCGUUUAAGGGCGUGUAGUGGAUGCCUUGGCACUGAAAGCCGAUGAAGGACGUGAUAUACUGCGAUAAGUUUCGGGGAGCUGUAUGUAAGCUUUGAUCCGAAAAUUU